AAACUUCUUUUCAGUGAUGAAGCAAUGACUCCUAAAGAAGCAAAGGGGAAGUCAAUUAGGGUAAUCUAUGAAACUGACAGUAAUGAACAUCAAUGCACUUUGGAGGAUAUGGUCAAAGCAAUAAGGCUUGAAGCUAUUAAAAACUUGAGCAAAUAUGAAAAUGAGACUAAAAAAUGGAGAGACAUAAAGGUAAAGCUAAAGCAAAUAGCACAAGAGGAUUUUGUCCUUCGAAGGAUAGUCAAUCCAGAUGAUCUAGGUAAAUUGCAAUGCAAAUGGAAAAGUCCCUUUCUGGUAAGAGCUUCAAAUUGUCAUGUCUUCUUUAGAUUGAAUGACUUGUAGGGAAAUAAGUCCCUCAGUCAUAGAAUUCCAAAGAUUUUCAGAGAUCCUAUGUGUAAAUUACAUUUAGGUUGUCUUUUAAUCUUGUUAUUUUUAGGAUUACUGUAGCUUAAAAGGUUGCACCCUUUUCACUUACACAGAGGAACUUUAUUCAAAAAGAUGAAAGGUAAGGUUUCUUAACGAGGAAGCCUUCAGACAUUGUAAUUCUCCUAAGAAAUUAUAACACCUCAAAAUCAUAUUUUGGAUAAAUUAGGUAAGUUUAUCAUGAGAUUUAAAUAAGUAUGUUUUGAAACAAGAAAUUAAAUAAAAUAUAUGAAUGAAAUUACCCUUAGUUGAAUUUUAUAUUUAUAUAUUCUCUAAAAAAUUAGUUAAAUGAUAUCUUAAUAAAGAUUAAACAUUAGAAAAUGUUUUUUAUCAAAACAAAUGAAUAUGAACUUUUGAAUACACUUUUAAUUUAACUACACAUUUAAAAUAAUAUUUUCCUAAAAAGAGAAUGUGUGCGUACAUCAUAUUUGAAAGCAUUUGAAUUAAUGAACAAUAUAACAUAUAAAUGAAUAAAUACAAUUAUAUUUUUUAUUCAUGUUGUGAUCUUUGAUUGUGCAUAUAAUUUGAAUUUGUAAUUUUAAACCCUAUUUAUUAAAACCAGUGGCGGAGGAGUCAUUGUGGCUAGAGAUGGCAACGGGGAAUUCCCCGUCGGGUUUUAGCUCCCCAUCCCCGUCCCCACGACGAAAAAAAAUUCCCCACGGGGAUCCCCACGAACGUUUGCGGGGGACAUUUCUUCCCCAUCCCCGUUACCCGCGGGGAUAAAUCCCCAUCGGGGAUCCCCGUACCCGCUUAAAUUAUAAUUAGAUCAUACUUCAUUUGCUAUUAAUAUAAAACAUUGUCACUUAUACACAUUGCUAGAUGUAAAAAUCAUUAUGUGUACAUUAAAAUGAACGUAUUUGUACAACUAGUGAUCUCUUGUCAAGACAAUUAUUUAUUUCUAUUAUUAACUAUUAUAUAAAAACAUCGUCAUAUGUAAGUUUAAUGGGUCCUCACGGGGAACGUGGAUGGGGAAUGCUUCCCCAUCCCUGUCCCCGUUUACCCGCUGGGGGAGAAAUUUUCCUCAUUUACAUCCCCGUGGGGGAAGAAAUUUCCCCAUCCCCGUCCCCUAAUAGAGGAAUUCCCCGCGGGGAAUCGAGGAUCGGGUCCCCAUUGCCAUCUCUAAUUGUGGCUAAGUGUAGCCUCAGCCAUACCAUAAAUUUUAAAGUGUUUAUAUCUUACAUUAUAAUCAUAUAAGAAUAUGUGGUGUGUUGGAUAUAGGCUGCCGUGUUUUAAGCCGUAGGUUAGGUUGUGACUUGUGAGUUUGAUUCACAUUGCUUAUAUUUUUUUGUCAGCUAUAUUAUAUUUUUCUUUUGUCCUCCGCUACUGUUUAAAGCUGAUUGGAGAUUUAAAAUAGACAAGAGAAAAGAGAAAAUAGAAAAAAAAACUUUCGGAUGGGUCAAUUUUCCCUAGCAAACCGACAUGCACUUUUUAUACGUGUGCUUUUUAGGGCCUGUUUGUUUACCCCCAGAUUAUAUAAUAUGGAUUAUAUAAUCCUAAGAGGCAAACAAACAGUCCAGCUUAUUUGCCGAGAUUAUAUAAUCUAACCCUUUGGAUUAUGAUAAUCCAUAAGCAAGUGAGGAGGUGCUUAUUUCAGAUUAUUUUUUCCCACUUCCCCACUACCCUUUCAAGUUUCCUAGAAAUUACACACCAUUGCCAUUAUAAUCCACCGAAUCGUUUUUGCGCCUAUUAGAUCAGAGAAGCCCGCCGCCCAAUAGAAACACGCCGCCCAGCCCUCACCCUCCGCGCGAUCUCGCCCGCGGCACAGGAUCUCGCCGCCUGGCACUGCCGACGGGACGGACGUCUGGCACUGCCGAUGGGACUCACGCCUGGCACUGCCCGCGGCACAGUAUCCCGCCCGCCGCUCCGACGCAGACCCGCGCGGUCGACGUACGACGGGGUAGCCGAAUCCGCCGUAGAUCAGGGUGCCAUGCAGGGUGAGGGAUCCCAUGCGCCGCCCGGUGGUCAGAUCAGGGGCGCCUUGCAGGGUGAGGGCUCCCAUGCGCCGCACGGGUCAGCAUCACGAGAUCAAGGACGUGCAAGUCAGGAACUGGACAACGCAGCGCAGGGACGCGCCGGUCGUGGCACUAGUUCUGUGAAACGUGGUGUGAUACGCGGUAGUAGGAGUGCCGGAAGGAGCAUUCGUGGUGGCCGAAGUGUUGGUAUUGACAUCGAUUUAAAUGCUCAAGGUCAGGAAGAUGAUGAACCAAUUGAAGUUGAAGCUGAAAUUACUGCAAAUAAUUCGGUGAGUAAUUUUCUAACAUAUGGCCAUUGCUAAUUUGUAGACAUUUGUAAUGUUCAUAUGUGAUAUGCUUGUACAUAUAUUUUCGUAUAGAAGGAGAAAUAUGACAAGGCAGAUUGGUCAUCCAUGAAUACUAGAACUUUUUGUGAAAUAUGUGUUGAAGAGGUUGAAGCUGGUAACAGAUCAAAUGGAACACUAACUACUGCAGCGUAUAAAAAUAUUUGUGUUAAGUAUCGACAAAGAACUGGUUUGCUUCACAGCAAAACUCAAUUGAAGAAUAAGUGGGAUUUACUGAAAGGGCUUUACUUAAAAAUAUUUGUGUUAAGUAUCGAUAAACCUAGUUCAACUAGCUAUGAUUAGGUGAUGACAACAAUUAGUAAUCCAAACGAUUGCUAUGAUAUGUUUCGGAUGAGUAGACCUCUUAUUCAAAAGUUGCAUGUUGAUUUCAUCAUAUGGACUGAAGACAACUGAAAAUAUGUGUUCUUUGGAAGCACUUUGUAUGUUUUUAUGGACUAUUGGUGCCCCUCAAUCUGUCGUUUAAGUAAAAAAUAGAUUUCAGAGGUCAAAAGAAACUAUUAGUAGAAAGUUCUCAGAAGUGUUGAAUUGCAUAUUUCUCCUAUCAAAAGAUAUUGUGAAGCCAAGAGAUCCUCAAUUUACUACUGUCCAUGAAAGAUUACUAGGCAACCGAUUUCACCCUCAUUUCAAUUAUUGUAUUGGUGCAAUUGAUGGAACUCAUAUAAGGGUAGUUGUGCCAUCCUCUAAAUUGGUUCAACAUGUUGGUCGACAUGGAUAUCCCACCCAAAAUGUACUGUCCAUAUGUGAUUUCGACAUGAGGUUCACUUUUAUUGUUGCGGGAUGGCCGGGUUCUGCACAUGAUAUGAGGGUGUUCAAUAAUGCUCUAACAAAAUAUGCCACUAUUUUUCCACAUCCUCCACCAGGUAUCAUAUUGUUUAUUAUAUAAUUUCAAUUUAUAAAUUAUUAUGGUCUACUCUCAUAUGUCGGUGUAUUUUUAGGUAAAUAUUAUCUUGUUGACUCAGGAUACCCUAAUCGAUCUGGAUAUCUAGCACCAUACAAAGAAACAAAAUAUCAUUUACCUGAGUAUCGAGCGGGUCCCCGACCUAGCGGAAAAAAGGAGACAUUUAACUAUUUGCAUUCAUCUCUGCGUAAUGUGAUUGAACGCUCAUUUUGUGUUUUGAAGAUGAAGUGGAGAAUUCUGUUACACCUACCCAGUUAUCCUAUGGCCAAACAAUCCAAAAUAAUACAUACAUGUAUGGCUCUUCAUAAUUUUAUUCGUGACAGUUCUUUGGCAGAUAAAGAAUUUGACCGUUGUGAUGAAGAUGAAGAUUAUAUGCCAAUGCCAUCAUCUCAGCCUAGUACUAUUCAAUUUGGGGAUGAAGAAGGUGACAUGAAUGCCUUUCGUGAUAAUAUUGCUAAUGCAAUAUUUGCCAAUGUCAAUUGAAUUAUUUUUUUUCAAAUUAUUUAUGUAAUAAAUUAUGAAUACUCAGAAACGUUUGUUACAUUGUUCAUCUCAUAUAUGAGUUUCAACCUAGUACAAAUAUCGAGGACAUUCUUGUCUUCCUCAUACAAAAGAAUCCUAUUAACAACUCAAAUAAUCUGGGUAAACAAACAAGACUACUCAGAUUAUAUAAUCCAGAUUAUAUAAUUCAGAUUAUAUAAUCCUCCAAAAAUAAUUCAGAUUAUAUAAUCCAUGGUGUAAACAAAUAGGCCCUUAAUCUUUCUUUACUCCUUGCGGCCUUGCCGGACUUUGCAUGCAUGACAUCAGCAUGCACAUUUGCAUUUAAGCCGUCAGUCGUGCAUGCAUGUUUUGUCGCCGGAACUCAUGCUGCUGACAUAUGGGCCCAUAAACCAUAAGCUUCUUCUGUUUGUAACAAAACAAAACGAACGCCACAUGCUCUGCCAGUUUCGUAGAGCUCUGAACUCCCGCGUUUUUAAGACUAUCCGCAAGCGUUACCCCUAAAUUUUUUCCCAUAAAUGUUACUAUACAGUUACGUCAGCAAGAUUCCCUCUCAUAUAUUCACUCAUCCCGCAACGGUUACCUCUACAUAUUCCCAUAUCUCCUACCCUACAUAUAAAAUACACAUUUCAUUCCAACUAACUUCAACUAUCUCUUUUUUUAUUUAUUUUGUUUUUAACGUAUGACUGUAAAAAACAUUGCGUUUAGCAAUUUAUUUUUAAUUUCUAGUAAUUUGAGUCAACAUUUCCGUUAACCAAUAAUUAAGAAUUUCACUUUGCACGCAUGAGACAUGGAUCCAAAUUCGUCCUCCAAGCUAUUACGGUCGAGACACAAGAAGGCUUACUGCAUGGUUGUGUCGUUGCCUCGGUGAACGGCGGUCGACGGUGCUCAUCCUGCGUUGGGUCGUUGCCACAGCCACUCGGCGGACGCGGUCCCGACUUCCGAUGGCGGCGAUUGCCUCGGCAGACGGCGGUCGGCGGCUGCUCCUCGCCUCCUCUACUUGUCAUGCGCUGGGUCGUCGCCUUGCCACAGCCACUCGGCGGACGUCGUCCCGACUCCCGAUGGCGGCGGCACGGCACAACAUCGGUGUUGGAUUGGAUAGCGGCGGCGCGACACAACGCAGUCGAGGGAAAUGGAUCCGGUCGUUUCUUCUAGAGCGCGCGCGUGGUUGCGUCCUCUAGAAGCAACUGCGAGGGGGUGAACAGCAGUCCUCUUCAUGUGGCGUGAGAGAGAAGGGGAUCGCCACCAAGAGUGCUCUAUAGCGACCGCC
rnacentral:lncRNA from 1 species